rnacentral:sRNA from 1 species
UUCAGUUUAUUAACGCGGUGUGAAAUUGUUGAAUUGCUGAAAUAUUGUGCGUGCAUUUUGUCGGAAAGGACUGAGGCGCUGCACAUCUUCUUCCAAUUGGCUUUCAUUAGUCGUGCGAACUCGGCGAAAUCAAGAGAUUUGCAUAAUUGGAAACUGAUGACGUGGCCCGUUCCGGCCGUCUGGCCCUGCGAUUGACAAAUUUCAGCGAGUUUACCAAAUAUUCAACGAACAUUCAUCAAGCGUUCUUUAUUUAUCAUAGUUUUUAGUUUGGAUUUAUAGCAUAGAUACAAAAUUUUAAAUCAUAAAAUUUUACAAGGAAACACUAACAAAACAGGAAUACACAACAACAAAA